GGCAGGGUAGCUCAGUUGGUUAGAGCGGCGGAUUCAUAAACCGCAGGUCGUGGGUUCGAUCCCCACCCCUGCUA
rnacentral:tRNA from 1 species